GUACCAGGGACAAACAGCCAAUUGCAGGAAAGAGAACUUGGAGGAGGAGGGAAGUGUGUCCGUGCUCUCCUCUUGAGAAGCUGCUAUGAAAGUCAAAGACACCCGUGGAGUCUGGAGCACAGCACAAACAAAUGAGUAAUGUUUCUGCAUAUGAGUCUGAAGACUCUGGAGACAAAUCUCUGGUGAAAGGCACUAAUGUGGUUCUGGCUGUUCAUAUAAAAUUGUGGCAAUGUUGGAAGGUAAAGAAAAGGGGUGGGGUGUUAAAACCUCCACCAAAGGCUGUAUCUUCUGCCAAAAAUUACCAUUAGCUGUCCGUGCUGCACUGAUAUUCUAAGAGUUCAUGAAAGACAGGAGAACAUUGCCCUGCUCUACUUUGUCCAUAAUGGCUCUGCUGUGUUUUGGCGUGACACCAUACCUUUGGGAAACUGCGUUUUGGAUGAUGUAUUGGCAGAUCUGCUAUACUGCUGUCUAUGAGAGUGAGUCAACGUAAAAUGGAAAUCUCCCAUGGGGCAAAAGGGCAAAAACUCACUUGGUCAUAAUUCUCAGAUUUUUGCAAAAAAAGGGGCCUUACAAUACUUCUGACUUUUUGUUAAGUAAGCAAGAUAUGUCAGAAAAUUUAACACAGGAGUAACUAGCUUGUGGAUGGCAAGUGUUUCUAAUGACAUAAAAUUUACAAUUUGAAAUUUAAAAUUGCUUGUUGAUCUUUCUGUGUUUCAACUUCUUUUCAGUGUGAGGCAGAAUUCACCAAGCUCUGGAUUGUGUUCCCACCACCAGGAAACAUGACGUGGCUUACGGCUGUUGCAGGUGAUGUUAGUUGUA
rnacentral:ncRNA from 1 species